rnacentral:rRNA from 1 species
GUCGAACGAGAGGAAGGAAAGCUUGCUUUUCUGAAUCUAGUGGCGAACGGGUGAGUAACACGUAGGUAACCUGCCCAUGUGCCCGGGAUAACUUCUGGAAACGGAUGCUAAAACCGGAUAGGUAGCAGACAAGCAUUUGACUGCUAUUAAAGUGGCUUUGGCCAUGAACAUGGAUGGACCUGCGGUGCAUUAGCUGGUUGGUGAGGUAACGGCCCACCAAGGCGACGAUGCAUAGCCGGCCUGAGAGGGCGGACGGCCACAUUGGGACUGAGACACGGCCCAAACUCCUACGGGAGGCAGCAGUAGGGAAUUCUCGUCAAUGGGGGGAACCCUGAACGAGCAAUGCCGCGUGAGUGAGGAAGGUCUUCGGAUCGUAAAGCUCUGUUGUAACGAGAAAAACCGGCACUCAUAGGGAAUGAUGACUGAGUGAUGGUAUCUUACCAGAAAGUCACGGCUAACUACGUGCCAGCAGCCGCGGUAAUACGUACGUGGCGAGCGUUAUCCGGAAUGAUUGGGCGUAACGGGUGCGUACGUGGCCAGAUCAAGUCCUGGAGUACACGGUAUGGGCUCAACCCGUACUGGCUCUGGAAACUGAUCCGCUACAAAACAGACAGAGGACGGCGGAACUCCAUGUGUAGCGGUAAAAUGCGUAGAUAUAUGGAAGUACACCGGUGGCGAA